GGAGAGGUGUCCGAGCGGCUGAAGGAGCACGAUUGGAAAUCGUGUAGGCGGUUUGUAGCUGCCUCGGGGGUUCAAAUCCCCCUCUCUCCGCCA
rnacentral:tRNA from 1 species